CCUACGGGAGGCAGCAGUGAGGAAUAUUGGUCAAUGGGCGGAAGCCUGAACCAGCCAAGUCGCGUGAGGGAAUAAGGCCCUACGGGUCGUAAACCUCUUUUGCCGGGGAGCAAGGGCGGGGACGUGUCCCGGCCCGGAGAGUACCCGGAGAAAAAGCAUCGGCUAACUCCGUGCCAGCAGCCGCGGUAAUACGGAGGAUGCGAGCGUUAUCCGGAUUUAUUGGGUUUAAAGGGUGCGUAGGCGGAGCGUUAAGUCAGUGGUCAAAUUGAGGGGCUCAACCCCUUCCCGCCAUUGAAACUGGCGCUCUUGAGUGGAAGAGAAGUAUGCGGAAUGCGUGGUGUAGCGGUGAAAUGCUUAGAUAUCACGAAGAACUCCGAUUGCGAAGGCAGCUUACUAAACUGCCACUGACAUUGAUGCUCGAAAGUGUGGGUAUCAAACAGGAUUAGAUACCCUAGUAGUC
rnacentral:rRNA from 1 species